rnacentral:rRNA from 1 species
AGUGAACGCUGGCGGUAUGCCUAAUACAUGCAAGUCGAACGAAAACACAGUAAGCUUUUGCUCUUACGGUUGGCGACUGACGGAUGGGUGACGAAUACAUCGCAUUCUUCUUUUUCGUGGGUGAUAUCGUAGGACAACUUACGCUACUACCGCAUACGAUCUACGGGUGAAUGCAGGGGUUCUUCGCACCUUUCGUGUUUGUUUGAGCUGAUGCCGGAUUAGCUAGUUGGCUUGGUAAAGGCCCACCAAGGCGACGAUCCGUAGCUGGUCUGAGAGGAUGAUCAGCCACACUGGAACUGAGACACGGUCCAGACUCCUACGGGAGGCAGCAGUAGGGAAUAUUGGACAAUGGGCGAAAGCCUGAUGCAGCAAUACCGCGUGAGUGAAGAAGGUCUUCGGGUUGUAAAGCCCUGUUAUUAGGAAAGAAAAGCAGCAGGAGAAAACACGGAUGUUCUGACGGUACCCAAAGAAAAAGCAACGGCUAACUACGUG